CGGGACGGGUGAGUAAUGUCUGGGAAACUGCCUGAUGGAGGGGGGUAACUACUGGAAACGGUAGCUAAUACCGCAUAACGUCGCAAGACCAAAGAGGGGGACCUUCGGGCCUCUUGCCAUCGGAUGUGCCCAGAUGGGAUUAGCUAGUAGGUGGGGUAACGGCUCACCUAGGCGCGAUCCCUAGCUGGUCUGAGAGGAUGACCAGCCACACUGGAACUGAGACACGGUCCAG
rnacentral:rRNA from 1 species